UACCCAUAAAACCCCAGUCAAAUCAAUGAGCAAUAGCAUUCAAAAAUAAACCUAUAAACUCCCCCUUUCUCAACCACAUAAAAUAAAAUAAAUUAAUAAGUCCUUUAUCUCAAGCAAUUCGAAAUUAAAAUAUUUUCUAUUCAUUUAUAUGACAAUCUAAUUUAAGUCUAUAAUUUUUUUUUACUUUAAACAAAUAAUUAUAAACAAACCUAUUUAUCUGUAUGUUUCCUGCAGGCCAAUCUAACAUAAAGUAAGUACUAUACAACCAUGAUAGAAUCAUUAUAUACAGCAGUUUAUACCCUUACAAUUAUCAAAAGUACAUAAAACAUGUUACUAGAGAAUUUUGAUUACAUCCACGCAUUGUGUGUAUACAGGCUAAGUGUUUCUCAAUUACAACAUACAAAUAAAUGAUGAACUUCUAUGCUUAAAAAUUGUCAGCCAACAAGUUCUACUGCAAUGAGGAUUUUAGGUAGCAGUUCAAAAAACAUCAGACAAAAAUUAGUUCACGUGUGAACUGAUUCUGAUACCAGUGUCAUCAUUGACCCUAUGCCAAGGACAAGAAACACACCAAGUGGGGUGAACAGAUCAAAAUAAAUGUGUGGUACAAAUUACUUGUGAACAAAAAGCCUGUGUACAUAAUAUGAUACCAUCAACUCUCAUUACCAAAACAAAUAACAUAGGGGUAGGCUGAGAAGAGAAGAGCUCUCUAUACAAUGGAGUCUUAUAAUACCAAGAGCUAGCUAUUUAAAUAUUUACACUUUAGCACAGGAUGCUAGCCAUGUGAUGCAGGUCACAUGAUACAAUCUAUGGGAUGCAGGUCACAUGAUACAUGCCAACUGAAGAAUGAAAUGUCUUGAACACUGGCAGAUUUGAUGCGUUGUGAUCUCUGGAGUUUACCAAUGACACGGCUAGUUGAUCAAAAAUAAAAUCUCUCCAUACAAAAAAUCGUUUGUUAUCAUGCUUGAAUAAAAUAAUAUAAUUAUUGAGUCCAAAAAUAAAAAACUUAAAAACUUAUGUUUCAGUCUAGAAAUUUCAGUAGCACAAAUUUGUAUUGUUAAAAGAUAUUUUUUGUUUCGUCUGCUAGUGUUUUAUCUCGAGUUCAAUUAACUAAAUAUAAAAGUCAGAAAAUGACAAUAAAACGUACAAGCGUACACCUGAAAUAAAAAUAUGAGGUCAACGUUAUAAUACAAUGUCAGAGAUAUAAUACUUUACAACCCCCAUAUAUAUACACACAUAUAUAGGCUA
rnacentral:sRNA from 1 species